rnacentral:rRNA from 1 species
UACGUAGGGGGCGAGCGUUGUCCGGAUUUACUGGGCGUAAAGGGCGCGUAGGCGGCGUGACAAGUCACUUGUGAAAUCUCUGGGCUUAACCCAGAACGGCCAAGUGAAACUGUUGUGCUAGAGUGCAGAAGGGGCAAUCGGAAUUCUCGGUGUAGCGGUGAAAUGCGUAGAUAUCGAGAGGAACACCAGAGGUGAAGACGGGUUGCUGGGCUGACACUGACGCUGAGGCGCGAAAGCCAGGGGAGCAAACGGG